rnacentral:rRNA from 1 species
AGAGUUUGAUCGUGGCUCAGGACGAACGCUGGCGGCGUGCCUAAUACAUGCAAGUUCGCACGCUUGAUUUUCACCGAAGCUUGCUUCACCGAAAAUCAAGAGUAGCGAACGGGUGAGUAACGCGUGGGUAACCUACCUAUCAGCGGGGGAUAACUAUUGGAAACGAUAGCUAAUACCGCAUAACAAUGUUGGAUGCAUAUUCGACAUUUGAAAGUACCAACUGGUACACUGAGAGAUGGACCCGCGUUGUAUUAGCUAGUUGGUAGUGUAAUGGACUACCAAGGCGAUGAUACAUAGCCGACCUGAGAGGGUGAUCGGCCACAUUGGGACUGAGACACGGCCCAAACUCCUACGGGAGGCAGCAGUAGGGAAUCUUCGGCAAUGGACGAAAGUCUGACCGAGCAACGCCGCGUGAGUGAAGAAGGUUUUCGGAUCGUAAAACUCUGUUGUUAGAGAAGAACGUUGCAUAGAGUGGAAAAUUAUGCAAGUGACGGUAUCUAACCAGAAAGGGACGGCUAACUACGUGCCAGCAGCCGCGGUAAUACGUAGGUCCCGAGCGUUGUCCGGAUUUAUUGGGCGUAAAGCGAGCGCAGGUGGUUUAAUAAGUCUGAUGUAAAAGGCAGUGGCUCAACCAUUGUGUGCAUUGGAAACUGUUAGACUUGAGUGCAGUAGAGGAGAGUGGAAUUCCAUGUGUAGCGGUGAAAUGCGUAGAUAUAUGGAGGAACACCGGUGGCGAAAGCGGCUCUCUGGACUGUCACUGACACUGAGGCUCGAAAGCGUGGGUAGCAAACAGGAUUAGAUACCCUGGUAGUCCACGCCGUAAACGAUGAGUGCUAGUUGUUUGGGGCUAUCCAGCCCUAAGUGCACGCAGCA